GUUCAGCCAUUUAGGAAAGAUUGGUGACCUAUCUGCAUGAUGGCAUUAACUACAAGGAUCAUCCAAGAGCCACAGUCACAAAGCCAGUCUCUGAAUAUGGUUCAAAGAAAUCUUAUAACUCUCUGAACAGGACGUGUAUUCGCCAACACUACUUGGAUGGCUGGUACUUCCAAGGAAGUCACCUUUGCCGUCGAUUUAUGUGCACUGUUCCCAGAGCCAGCUUGCACCCAUGAAGAACAACACAACUUACCGGUCAUAGGAGCAGAAAGUGUCGACCUUGCAGUAGGAUUUGGACACUCUGGGAGCCAAACUGGAUGUGGAAGCUCCAAAGAGGAUGCAGCAAUAAGGCACCGUCUUGGAAAAGGAGACUGAUCCUCAAAAAAUGUCAGUGCCUCAAUCUUGGACUUCCCAGCCUCUAAAACGGUUUACCAAGCCCUCUUGGAGAAGCAGGUUCCUGUGGGAACCUGGUUAGAUCUCCCAAGCUAACAGUGUUUUUACUACAAUAAGACAGUGAUUAAUUGUGUCCCACUGGGCACUGUCCUGAUAAGUUUUGCUCCAGGCUUGGAAGUCUACAGUGGAAGAGUGAGGGAACUUUGGUCAGCUGCUUUUCCUCUCCUCAGCUCUCCUCCCUCAUCGGUUUCUGCUUUUGGCCUCUUCAAAGCUGCAAGAGGGAAGGAGAAAAGGAUUUCCCAAGCUUGGCCAACCUAUGACUGAAAGUGGGAUCACAAGAAUAAUGAUAACCUGGAUUUCACUGGCUUUGCCCCAUCUGCAAAACUUCAAGUCUCUACAAAGGCCUGAAUCUGCUGUCUCCUAAGUAUUUUUGGGAAUUCCCACGGGGUGUCUAAUUAUCAGGAACAAAUCUGGUAAGCAGCCUGGCAAGUGGCAUCUGCUUGGCCCUUUUAAUUAUUUCUGUGAAUACCUUCAUGUUUCCUUUGGGAUCUGCUUCGGUUUUGGCUAUUUUCUGGACACAAUAGGUACCACUACUGAUGUAGCAACACUUUCAAAGAGCCAGGGAUCUUUGGCAAAGUCCGAGAGAAUGCUUCUUUUCCCUUUUUUGUUUUGCUGUCCGUGAAAGGAAUACCCUAGCUGUAUAGCUAACUUGUGUCCACUGCCUUAGAAAGUUUAGGAAGACUACUUAAGGCUUAUCUUUUCCUCCCAUCUACUCCUAAUCCCUGUGGAAUGUGAGAUCAAGGAUAGCUCUGAGGGACAUACCCCAAACUGUGCUCAGAAUCACAUCUCUCCUCUGAUUAUUAAGGCAUUGCUACCAGAUUGGAUUUUUCAGAGUGGGAUGCCUCACUGAAUCUGAGUUACCCCCCGCAGGAGGGUCCUGCAGUCUCACGCAUGUAGGAUUUCAUCAGGUUGCCCCAUCAGUUCUCCAACAUCAGGACCUGUUUGAGUCUUCAAUAGUAGAUGUUGAGACUUCUUCUGCACGCUCGAUUGAUUUAUAUAAAACUUUUCACUAGUCUCUAAGCAAGGUGAUACACAAUCAUACUUUCAAUUCAUGUCAUAAACUUGUUAUUUAAUUAAUUAGACAUAAGUGAACAAUCCUAUGGAAAUAAUAUUUCCUAGUUUUUUUUUUAACUUGGAGGUUUUGGGGGCUUUUUACUACUAGAUUCCUUUCUAAGUCUCAUUUGUGUACAUAUAAUUUUGGAUGGUUAUAAACUAUAUUGUUUUACAUAAUUUUUUGUAAAUUAGUUUUACCUACAUAGUUAAAUAUAGAAUCCACAUCUUACAAACGUAAUGAACAGAAACUUUUCCAUAGUCUUGAGGUAGCAACCAUUUAAUGAAUGUUGGGUAUUUGAAUUAUUUCCAUUCUAUACUAUUCAGAAUAGCCCUGCAUAUAUCAUAUAAUGACACAACUAUCAUUAUAAAAACUAUUAUUGACUGGGCACGGUGGCUCACAUCUGUAAUACCAGCACUUUGGGAGGCUGAAGUGGGUGGAUCACCUGAGAGAGAUCAGGAGUUCAAGAACAGCCUGGCCAACAUGGUUACCUGCCUCUACUAAAAAUACAAAAAUUAGCCGGGCGUGGUCGCGGGUGCCUGUAGUCCCAGCUACUCAGGAGGCUGAGGCAGGAGAAUCGCUUGAACCCGGGAGGCAGAGGUUGCAGUUAGCCGAGAUCACGCCACUGCAUUUCAGCUUGGGUGACAGAGUGAGACUCCAUCUCAAAAGAAACAAACAAACAAACGAAAAAACUAUCAUUGAGGAUUGACAAUUGAUAUUGGUAAUACCAAUGUAUUUGUAUUGAUACUUUUCGAUUGUGUUCAAUACAUUCCUAACUAAUAGGAUUGUUAAGUGAAUUUAAAAAGAUAAAUGAUGUUAACUUAGCCCCUAGCACAGUUACUAGUACUUAGUUGGACUUUAAUCUAUAUCAGUUCUCUUCCUCCAGAUAAUAAGUUUUAAAAUUACUUUGACGUUUUUAAACAUUUGCCACUCAUUUAGAUGUGCAUAGUCACAAAGCACGCUGUGAGCUGGAGGACAUAGUACUGGGACCAAUAGAACUGAUCUGUUUAUCAGGUUGACAUCCAAAGGAGGUUACUUCGAGUCCAAAUCCUUGAUCUAAGGCCAACAACAAUUUUUAAAGAAGUCUCACAUGGCAGAUAGGUUUUGAGGAUUGGUAGGUAAUACAUGAAGUGAGGAGUAUGACUUCAUCUCUGUUGAAUUUGAAGUAGGUUUGAGGGAAGGAUCCAAUUAGGAAGGUUGUUAGGGUUCUAGCCAGUUUGGUGCAAAUCAAAAUGCUGAAGCCCAGGUGAAUCGGGCAAGCCCAGCAUUGACUUUUACCCAAGUUUUGCAAAAUUUCCAAAACCAGAAGGUCAGUGCAUAUUUAAUGAAACCUGCCACUUAUUGGGUAUUUAAUGUUCAUCAAGUAUUGUUUCCUUUUUAAAAGGUAAGAGGCUUAUAGAACUUAUGUAAUUUGCCCAUGGCAAAGCCUGGUAAGUGAUAGAAUUGAAACUCAAACCCAGGUCUGACUGACCCCCAGAUUUCUAUAUUUCUAUCACUAAGUUUAUACCGUCUAUAUGUGAAUUAUGUAAAAUGUUCAUUUUCUUCAAAGCUGUGUGCAAAACAAAAGUUCUGUUCUUCUGUAUUAAAGCCUUUUAAGUACAGAUAAAUCUGUACAGCUGUUAUAAAAAUUAUUUGGAGAUAUUUUUAAUUGUUUCCUAGUUUAUUUUAUAAUUAUGGGGUA